GAGCCCGCUUCAAACUGUGGCGUUCAUCGCCGCGUUCCCGCAAGGGAUAGAAGCGGGUUUUUUA
rnacentral:sRNA from 1 species